rnacentral:rRNA from 1 species
CCUACGGGCGACAGCAGUCGAGAAUCAUUCACAAUGGGGGAAACCCUGAUGGUGCGACGCCGCGUGGGGGAAUGAAGGUCUUCGGAUUGUAAACCCCUGUCAUGUGGGAGCAAAUUAAAAAGAUAGUACCACAAGAGGAAGAGACGGCUAACUCUGUGCCAGCAGCCGCGGUAAUACAGAGGUCUCAAGCGUUGUUCGGAAUCACUGGGCGUAAAGUGUGCGUAGGCUGUUUCGUAAGUCGUGUGUGAAAGGCGCGGGCUCAACCCGCGGACGGCACAUGAUACUGCGAGACUAGAGUAAUGGAGGGGGAAGCGGAAUUCGCGGUGUAGCAGUGAAAUGCGUAGAUAUCGAGAGGAACACUCGUGGCGAAGGCGGGUUCCUGGACAUUAACUGACGCUGAGGCACGAAGGCCAGGGGAGCGAAAGGGAUUAGAUACCCCAGUAGUC